CGGCUGGUGCUGGCGUUGCAUUAUGGGAGAUGUAGUUUGGUCCUUUACGGUAUGAAUGGAAUAGAGGCGAUUUCACACGUUGUAACUAGUUUAUGUUGCAGUGUUUUUGUACAUGAGUUGUUGUAUUUUGGUACUGUCAACACUGAAAGCACCAAGCAAUGUAUUGGGGAUGUGAGACAGGAUAUGUGUUUUACCUUUCUUCAUGCUCCUGUGUAGAACAACUUGUCAGAUGGUGCAUUGGAGACUGAUGUGUUCCUCUCCUGUCUUUUCACAAUACUAUUGCAGGUGUGCUCAACCAGGUCAACGAAGAGGAUAUCUAAGGUAGCCUAUCAUAAAGGUGUCCUAGUGACCUGCCCAGGAUGUGAAAAACACCACAUUAUUGCUGACAACUUGGGUUGGUUCUCUGAUCUGAAGGGAAAGAGGAACAUUGAGGAAAUCCUUGCAGCGAAAGGGGAGAAAGUGAAGAGGGUAGAAGAAGAGGCGGCCUUCGAGAUUGUUAUAGAUGAGUCCGGCAAGGAUACAACACAGACUGCUCAAUAUGCAAAGAAACCUUCACCAGAGUCUGAUGACUCAGGGAAAUCAUGACUAACGCUCUGUGGGUGUGUGUGCGCGCAUACAUGCAUUUGUCGAUGGACUGAUCACAACAAGGACACCAUUCUCUAUGAGGGAGAAAUAGCUAUUACUAAGUAAAUGCAACACUUCUUUUGAUAUUUCUAUCUCCAUAUUGUUUUCAUAAGAUGUUGAUCAUUUUUUAUCACACUAUUUUAUACCAACUGAACACUGCUGCCAGAAUAUUCAUUGGGUUUACACCAAUCUUACUACUACUGCACUGAUCACAAUCAAACAGAAAAGGCUGAUGCUUGCAAUUCAUUUUUAUUGUAAAGUUGCAUGAUAUAAAGCAGGAAGAAUUAACAUCCAAAAGCCCAUUUAGGGCCAUGGCAAACUGUCUA